rnacentral:lncRNA from 1 species
GCCAGGGGCACGGGAGGAGGCGUGCUCAGGAAGGAUCUUGAAGGCCAGGGCUCCCCGAGGGCCCUGCCAGCAGAGGCACCCUUCCCACUGCAUGCCCAAACACUGCGGUCCCCUGCUGGGUGCCCGUGCCCACUCCUGGCUUCUCUCUGCCGUGUGGGAGGGCACCCCAUGAGUCAUUCACACUGGAGUGUGAAUUAGCCCAUCAAAUCCAAGGGGACCCUGACAGUGUGUCGUCUCAUAAUAGCACCUGCUCCGUGGGCCGGCCAGAGCGUCAUGAUGUAGCCCAGGCCCUGGCUUGGUGGGUGGGUGGGUGCUGGCUCUCAGUGCACCCUCUGUGUUCCUGGCCCCAAGAUCUCUUGCGCAUGAGCCCCGUGUGCUGCCCCACGCCCCAGGUUCAGGCAGGGUGCGUGCCACUGCACAGGUGGCAGCCAAGCCCCAAGGGCUGAGGGGGAGGGUUUCGCCCAAGGAUGGAGGUCAGGUGUUGCUGCCCACUUGCUUUCUGGGGCUGCAGUGGGAUCGCCAGGGACUGGGCAAGCAGGGGUGCCCCUGGGCUGACUGGCCAGCCGUGGUGAUCCUCUCAGUCUCCCACGGCCUUGUCCCCUGCCUGCCUGGGCCCUCUGGGAGGUGCCUUGUGGGCAGAUGCUUGAGCAGAGGCAAAGGGUCGACCCUCUCCCCUGGCCAGCGGGCAGCACCCUCUCUGAGCCACCCUCACCUGAAACACUGGGGGGAGGUUGUGGACCUGCCCUGGGGGCUGGGGUAAAUGAGGAUGGGGUCUCACGGGUUAGGGCCAUGCUGGGAGCUGUGGCCUCCACUGGGUUUGGAGAAGACUGCUGGGCGGAUGGGCUGAGGGGGGCCAGGUUCUCAGCCGGACGGUGGCUGGAGAGAAGGUCAGAUGAGGGGGCUUGGGUCCCUGGGAGCAGCGUGGCCUUUGACUCGUGAGGUUUGAAGCACAGGACAUACGGUGUGGGGAGGCCUGGGGGAGAGCAGGUGGGGGCCAGGGCCAGGGCCAGGGCCACAGCAGCCCCAGCUCCUUUUCUGGUCCUAGACCCGCUGAGGGGAAGCGGGUGUGACCCAGAUUCCUCAGGCCUGGGCCCAGGAGGGGGGACUUGGCUCCAUGACCCAGAUACUACAAGUCUCUGUAGCUCAGAGAAGAGGUGGCCAAUGGUCUCCCACAUGUGGAAGCAGCCGCUGUGUGCACGAGAGGGAUGACCUGCCUGUGUUGCGGGGAUGGGAACUGGUGCCCCUAGAGCAGGAAGGAUUUCAGUCAGACUUAGGGAAGAGCUUCCAGCUUUUGAGAAACAGAUUCUGUUGAAAAGAGGCAGGCUGAUGGCUUCUGACCUUCCUCAGGCGGAUCUGUGUCUUAAGAUGCACGUGAAGGCCCUCAUGUCCACCCCCACCUCUGUCCUCAGCUGAGGUCCAGCACUGCAGGGAAGAUGUGGGUAACUCCUGAGAGGCCUUCAUGGACCAAGUUCUUUUCCCAGCUUAGAUGGGCCUGGGUCAGGCCACCCCUCUGUCCAGAUUCCAGGUCACUCUUAAGGGUGGCUUUCCCAUCUGUUGACCAGGGCUCAGGGAUGCGCCCUGGGUGGGCGACGCAUGGGAGCUGGAAUCUAGGCCUCACUGUGGCCUCGCUGUGUGGCCUUGGACAACUGGCCCUUCUCCGAGUGGCGGUUUCUUUAUCUACAACGCUGCCCACAGUGGGUGCAUGGAGAGCCUCUGUGCAGAGCGAGGCCAUCGUUCCGGGGGCAGAGAGGGCCCAGAGAUGGGCCUGUCCUGGAGCUGCAUGUGGGAGACUGUGGCUGCUCCCCUGGUGCACGUUGCUGGACCUGCUCUGGGGGUGUGAGAGGCUGAGGGCGGGGCACAGGGCUGUCCUGCAGGGUCUGCUUGGACCUCAGCGCCCCUGCUCUGGGUCCAUGCAGCUUACAGAGUGGUCAGCCCCUGACCAUCUCCUGGACGGGGGUGGGGACAAAUGCCUCCUCUGCCCUCCAUGGUCUGCACUGUAGGGUGGGCAGCAUUUCCUCGAUGCCAGUGGAGGCCCUGGGCCAAGCACGGUUCCCAGGCUGUGGACCCACCAGUGCAGCUGGGAGCUUGUGGGCUGCGACCCAGGCAGUCCAGCUCCCCACUGCCUCAGGGUGCCGUCCUCUCAAAGUCCUCAGGCAGGCCAGGCGGCCUGGAGUCCAAGCAGGAGGGCUGGCUAGUGCCCAGACCUGGGCUGUGCACAGCAGAACAGGGACUUGAACUCGACAUUGGCUGGCCAGAGUCCUACCCUAAGAGCAGCCACAGACUGCUCUGGACAGGCCUAGCGGCCACCACAAAACCUGAAGCACAGCACCUGGCUGUCUCCUGGUGCUGGCUGGCUGUGUCUGAUCCGCCACCCCAGGUCUGGGACUGUUGCCUCACCAUCGCAGACACUAGGGGCUCAGUGGCUCCUGCUUGGAAGUGGUGGGGGGUGGGAGGGAGCUGGCAAGGGGGCCAUGGCUGACAUGUCUGAGUGUGACCUUGGGAAACCUCUGGCAGGGGUGCAGGACCUGGGGUGCCACUCAGAGCUCCAGGAUUUCCAGGGACUGUGCUCCCUCCUUUCUCCUUCGUACUCUCCGAUCCUGUCCAUUCAGUGGUCAGCAGGACGUGCGCUUUUCUCAAGGAGAGAGGACUUCUUAGGGGCAUCCUGUGUUGCGCAUCAGGGCAGCAGGCCAGGGGUGAGGCUGCUUUGAGCAGGCCAGCUCCUUGGCCUCCAUCCCGGAGCCUGGGGGCCUAGGGUCAGUGCUGAGGCUACCUUUUGGGGCCAGAGGCCCAAAAGCUCAGACAGAGUUGUCCCUGGAGCCAAAGAGCCUCCAGGUCCAGGCCUUUCACAGCUUAUACAUCAGCAUUCGUCUAGGAACAGAGAGGUCCUCAGACAAAGGAGCCUCUGGCCUCCAAACCCUGCCCCGGAACUUGGCCUUCCACAUGGCCUUUCAGGGUGAGCAGGCAGGCCAGAGAGGGGAGGGGCCACACAGCCCAGACUUAACCCUGUAGAGCCCAAGGCUAACUCCCGGGCCCUCCUCCCCACCUUGAGCUGCCUCUGACUUGAAGACACUGUUUUGUUUCUCUGGAGCAAAUCCUUCCUUCUGAGCCUCAGAGAAAAGUGGAUGCUAAGGAUGUCCUCAUCCUUGGGGGUCCUCUGCCCACUCAGAGCAUGUCCCUUCUCCAGUGCCUAAAUCUCAGAGGUCCUGCUGCUGCUUCCCUCCACUGCUAGCAAUAGGAAAGGAGCAUGGUGCAGCCACCCAGAGCUGAUGGGCACAGCUCAGGACUCUCAGAUGCCCAGAACUGCCAUCCACCAGCAUACACUCAGGCAUGUCCAACCCCUACUUUAGAGAUGAGGAAACCGGGGCCAGGGGCAUUAGGCAACCUCUCAAGGCCAUGCAGCAAGGGUGCAGCCUAGGUGCGGGGUUGAUUGAGAGCCAGGUGUCUGAGGAGCACUCUCUGGGUACGCACACCCACUUGCGUAGUUCUCUGGAAUCCUCUGGGGAAGAGUAGCUGGACAGAGCAUUGGUCCACAGUGUAACUGGUCAGGUCCCUUUGGGGUCUGGGCUUUGAAGUCCUCAUUGGUAUAGUAGGGGUGGGCUAGAGACCCCCUGAGAUUGGAAAGCACCUGUAGCCCCAUCACUGCUGGGUGGCAAUGGGUUGAAGUUGCAGCUGGCUGGAAGACCUCCUGGCAGGGAGAAGACCCUGGGUUGUCUUCUGAAGCCCCGGUGCAAGUCCUGGAUUGGAGUGACUUGGGGAGGGCUGAGGCCUUUCUCUGCGCUGGGUUCAGAUGACCCCCUGCUGCAGCUCUGGCAACCUCAAAUUCUCAGGGUGCAUCCCAUCCCCUUCACCUGCUGGGCAGAGCCUUGGGGUCAGGACAGGGGCUCAGCCCAGGCCAAAGGUGUGAGGGUUGGGUGCUGGGGGGAUGGACAGAGGGCUACCAGGAAGGCUGUGGGAAAGUGGCUCCGGGAGCAUGAGAAGGGAUAAGGGGUGUGAUUUGUGAACAGUUCCGUUCCUGGUGGUGCACAAGAACCUGUCAAGCCCUUUGCUUAAAUGAAAACAGGGCAGGGCAGGCCUAGAGAAACAGGGGGCCCGAUCUGAUCCAGAGGGGGAGCUUCCAGCUGUGGGCCACCUCUCGGCAGGAAGGCUGAGUUCCGAGAUGAGCGGUGGACACCAGGGGGACUAGGCCUGGGAGAGGUGGCUGCGGGGACGAGGCAGUCCCAAGGUCACCAGAUCCUGCGGGCGCCCUAGGCCUUGGGGCCGGGGCGCUCUGGAGCGGCCCCUCGCCGACUCCGAGAGCGCCCCCGCGCCCCUGGGUUCGCGCCCCGCAGCACGUGUGCCCUGCGCCCCUGCGGCCCGUCC